rnacentral:rRNA from 1 species
UACAGAGGUCUCAAGCGUUGUUCGGAUUUAUUGGGCGUAAAGGGUGCGUAGGUGGCGUCGUAAGUGGGGUGUGAAAUCCCGGGGCUUAACCCCGGGACUGCAUUCCAUACUGCGGUGCUUGAGGACUGGAGAGGAGACUGGAAUUUACGGUGUAGCAGUGAAAUGCGUAGAGAUCGUAAGGAAGACCAGUGGCGAAGGCGGGUCUCUGGACAGUUCCUGACACUGAGGCACGAAGGCCAGGGGAGCAAACGGG